rnacentral:lncRNA from 1 species
AGCUUGAUCACCAUAUUCAAUUGAAAUCUAGAUGCACGUGCUUUCUUCCACCGCAUAGUACACAAAUCACUACAGUGCUGGCGAUAACAUCUGAAGAGGCUCUGAGCAUGGAGAUGGUGGGCGACAAGGCUCUCUAACUAGUCGUUGUUUGUUCAGGUUCUGUUGUGGCCAUGCAUUGGAUGCUCUUAUAAAAAAUGCUUGU